UACAGCGAUGAGGUGCAUCCAUGC
rnacentral:piRNA from 1 species